rnacentral:lncRNA from 1 species
AAAGAUUGAACAUUAUUCAUUUUGGUGGCUGAAAACAAAAAAGACCAUCUUUAUUUUUGGCUAUCGGAGAUGGUGGUCGGACUCCCUUUAAUAUUUGGGUAUCCAACUGAUCAUUGUAUAUGUAUAUAUAUUUUUUCUGACAUAUUGUAUUUUGAGGCGGCCUUUUUAGUAUAUCUUGUGCUAAAGAGAGUUUCCGUCGAUGUUAAUAUAUUCCAUUUUUAUUUCUUAAAAAAUAAAUAUAAUGAAAAAUAUGAAAACACGAAAUUAAAUAAAAUCAUAUGUAAUAACAUUAACAAUUGAUACACACAAUUUUGUCUUAAGUGCCAUUAAAUAUCAAAAUUCAUGGUCCUCAAAUAAAUGACACCAUAUCAUUCUCCCCAUUAAAAUUGAGUCAAUCAUUUCCUUACUCUGCCACAUGUUUUCAUUCAUUCUUGAGAAAGAUCAUCAUUCCGCAGCGGUUAACUGCCGAAGUUCCGCGGUAGUUAACUAUCGCCGGUUAACUUCCACAAUAGUUAAUUGUCGAAGGGAUAUUUCGGUGCUUUACUGGUGUGUUUCAGUCAAAUACUAUGUGCAAACAGCAAAUUUCAUAUGAGCCGACCAAUAAAAUAUGUACACCCUUCUCGUUCAAUGAUAUUUCACCACCCUGUGCUAGUGAAGAACAAAUGUGUACCGACCCUUCAAAAAAAAAAAAAACCAUAUUUGUACCGUAGCAGCACCAUGGAUUAUUAUCUUAUGAUUGUGUAAAGAUCAUUGAAAAAAAAAUCUUUUGUAUAAUUUCAUUUUAUUUGCCACAAGAAUAUCUUUAUUUAAUAAUGUUUAUGUUAUAAAAAAUAUUUGAAAUUAAAAGAGGUGCAACCUCAAGCAAGUUCAGAUAUAACUAAUAAUACCACUGAAAAUUUACACCUAAAUUUAUAGGCUUAAUUACACUUUUGAUCCUCGUGUUUUGGCCUACUCACGAAACUGGUCCUGCCCUUUUAAAACAGAACAAAAUGGUCCUUCAAUUUUAGACUCCAGAAACACAGAGAAAUAGCAGUUUUAGGCGAUUUUAGACCUACCCCUAUGCUCAACCAUUAAAUCAACAAGGAAUAAAACAUGUGGGCACAAAGAAUUUAUUCUAUUCAUCACAAUAACAAAAAAAAAAACCCUAACUUGAAAUAUAUCUUAGAAAUUAAGAUUUUUUUGAUUAGUGUGUUGAAUAAAGUGGAUUCUUUGUACCCACAUGCUUUAUUCUUUGUUUAUUUCAUGGUUGAACAUAGGGGGUAGGUCUAAAACUGUCAUUUCUCUGCGUUUUUUGGAGAAUAAAAUGGGGGGUAGGACGAAAAAUGCAACAAAAAUGGUAAUUGAAGGACCGUUUUGUUCUAUUUUAAAAGGGCAUGACCAGUUUCAUGAGUAGGCUAAAACACGAGGACCAAAAGUGUAAUUAAGCCAAAUUUAUAUAUAAUAUGCCAGAUGCGAAAUGCUAAGCUACAUUACAUUACUAGCCAUGUCAUUGUCAAUUUAGGACUGCAACUUGUUUUAUCAUUGUUUAACGCCAUUAUUCUGUUUGGAGAUAGAGAAAAAAGUCAUUAUUCUCUGUUCAGAUUUAGCCUCUUUCAUCACGAAAAGUCAAAAAAGGAGAAAACGAAAGUGGAUAAAAAAAAAUAACAAGACACAUUUAAUUAUUAUUAUUAACCCUUUCAAUAAUAUUUUUUUUUAAGAAAGCCCCUUUCUAUCAUGAAAAGCCAAACAAUAUAGAAAACGAAAGUGGAUAACAAAAAUAGUGACGACAAACAAUAUUUUAAGGUGAAAUAUUUACUAAAAAUAUAGGUUAUUAACGUUGCUUUUUAAUAAAUUUUGACUGUGAUUUAAUUAUAGAUGUAAAUAUUUGUGACUUUUAAAUUGUAAAAACAAAAUUUAGCUUUUUAAAUGACACCAACAAUUUAAAAAAUAAUAUAUAAAUCUUAUCUUUUUCAAUGAGUAAACAAUAUAGAAUUUUAAGGAGUCGUUGUCACCACCUACUGCAGCCGAUGUUGCCGUUCCCCGGAAUCCCAGUUCUAUUGAUCAAACUAAAAAUCCAGGUUCAUACGAACGUCUGUUACGUGCGUACCUAGGAAUGGGCCGGAUUAGAACCGACCAAGAAAAGGCAAGUCAAGUGCCAUUCUUCUAGGCCAAAGAAAGAUAUACAAAUUUGUUUAAAGGGAUAAUGGAAAAUGAAAAACUCAAUUUGAAAUCUUGUAUUCCCUUCAUAUAUAGUAUAGAUACAAGGGUAAUGAUUAGUUUUUAAAAAAGGUGUCAAAAGCCAAUAUAUAUAUGCUAAAAGCUAGAAAAUGAUCAAUCAACUUUCUAUUUGAUACAAGCAAAUGAGAAUAAACAUGACUGCAGCAAUUCUCAAGUUUGUCUAUACUAUAAUCAUAUAUCUUUUCCUACUUCGUGUUGUAGCCAAAGAUUUACGUAAGUCGUUUUUAUCACCCUCUCAAAUUUCAUUCUUUCUUUUAUAAACAAUUUUUCAUCCAUUUUUAUUAACAUUAUUUAUUUUGUAAUUUAUAUUAUAGCAUUUAACAUAUGUGAAAAAGAUGAAGACUGUCUAGAAUUUUGUGCUCAUGAUAAAGUGGCUAAGUGCAUGUUGAAUAUUUGCUUUUGUUUCUAAUAGUUAAGUUAACAAAUAAUUUAAUUACUACUAGACUCGUAAUUAUAUUUCUACGUGUUGUUACUUUUAUAUUUUCUUGCAUAAUUAAAUUCUCUCUCACUAUCCUUUAAUCUAUUUGACAGAUCGACGGCAAUUAAACAUAUUGCCUAUAUUAUGCAUGUGUUGUUAUUAGUGGUUUGAAAUGUCACUGCAUGCAAAAGUAUAAAUGAAUUGUAAUAAAUAAAUAAAGGUGAUGUGAUUAUGUAAAACCAUUAUUAUUAAAUGAUGACAAUAUAUUGAUCAUGUAAUUAUACUAUGUAUACCGUUUAUUUUUACUCAAUAUGCAUACACUUAUAAACAUAAAUACAUCUAUUGAAUACAAUUCUAAUCAUAAAAAUUACAUAUUAAACCAAAUAAUACAUUUUUGUGUGGGUACAACACCACUCAAAUUUAUGAUAAAACAAAAGUAACAAAGCAUCUAUUAGACAUCCUUUAAAAAAAGUAUCUAUUAGACACAACUCUAAAUUAUGUAUGAUUAAUAUUAUAUUUGCAUCUACUGAGCGUAAUUUCAAUUUUAUGCAUAUAUAAAUGUUUCACUAGAAGACGUUCGUAGCAAAUUCCCCAGCAAACAUUUUUUUGCAGUUUUCUUCGAACCCUAGAACCAUAAAAUAUAUCCUUUUUAUAUUUUGUACAAGAAAAUAUAAAAAUUGCAUUUUGAGACUUUCAACUCGUAUCUUGCACAAGAAAAUAUAAAAAAGUUUUAAAAAUGUCACUUUUAAGGGUCGAACUCGCAAAUUGGCUCGUUGAUAAAAAUAUGGCAUGUCAUUGCGGAAAGGUUAAAAUAUGUUACAAUUUAUUACAUAUAUGAUUCAUAUUUGAAGAAAACAAGGUUUACCGUCAGCUAUAGGAAAUGAUAUACCUGUAAAAGCACUCUGAUACCAAAGUCAGGAAGUGUGCUAGUGUAGCGAUUGAGUGACUCUCAUGAGAUAUGGUGAUCAUACAUGGGGGAACGAUCAUUUGUUUAUAGUAAUGUGCUCUAGUUGUGCACUCAUAUUGGUGGCCAAUUUUGCUCUUGAGGUUGCUUUAGAUAUUCUUCAGUUUGUUUAUGGAAACUGAAACAAGAUAGGUGGUGCAUUUUUUAUUUGAGUUCAUUUCCUGAUGCUAGGAAAACUAGAUGUUUAUUUAAUUAUGUGUUGAUGCUAAAAACAUUGGAACACGUCUAUGUUGUUAGAUUCUUGAUGUGGAGUCGAGAUGAUCUUAUGUAUAUUGCAGGAGAUAAAGCUCCCCCGUUACAUCAUGCAUUAUGCUGAGGUGAGAACCUCAAAUAGUUUGUCUUUUUGGGCCUCAUUAUUGGGACUUUCAAGGGUGGCUUUGUUUUUGGACUCUUGAUGAGAUGACUUAAGCUAAUAGUCUUACACAAACCCCUUAAACCAUUAGUUAUGUUAACAAAUUUAAUGAGUCUAAAUUGUAUGAAAUUGUAGGGUUAAUAGGUUUUACCCCCCUGCCAUUUUGAUGAAAUUUGAUUUACUCAUUGUAAAAAAAAGUUUGAGAUUCCACUUGUAAUUUGAAGAUUCGUUGGUUUUCAACCCUGGGUGCAUCUGAUUGUGCAAAGAAUCUAAUAUGGCAUGUUGAUUGGAUAUUUUUAACGAUGUGAAAUGUUGAGUUAGUUUUUUUUAGUUUUUUUAAAUUUUUAUUUUUUCAAUUUGGAUUUUAUUUAUUGAAACAUUUAAAAAAAACAAAUAAUAUAAAAAAAAGUUAACCGUGUUUUACCCAACUAUAAUAUAGGUCACUUCUGAUUUA